rnacentral:rRNA from 1 species
GAUGAACGCUGGCGGCGUGCCUAAUACAUGCAAGUCGAGCGAACAGACGAGGAGCUUGCUCCUCUGAUGUUAGCGGCGGACGGGUGAGUAACACGUGGAUAACCUACCUAUAAGACUGGGAUAACUUCGGGAAACCGGAGCUAAUACCGGAUAACAUGUUGAACCGCAUGGUUCAACAGUGAAAGACGGUCUUGCUGUCACUUAUAGAUGGAUCCGCGCCGCAUUAGCUAGUUGGUAAGGUAACGGCUUACCAAGGCAACGAUGCGUAGCCGACCUGAGAGGGUGAUCGGCCACACUGGAACUGAGACACGGUACAGACUCCUACGGGAGGCAGCAGUAGGGAAUCUUCCGCAAUGGGCGAAAGCCUGACGGAGCAACGCCGCGUGAGUGAAGAAGGUCUUCGGAUCGUAAAACUCUGUUAUUAGGGAAGAACAAAUGUGUAAGUAACUAUGCACGUCUUGACGGUACCUAAUCAGAAAGCCACGGCUAACUACGUG